GAUGAACGCUGGCGGCGUGCCUAAUACAUGCAAGUCGAGCGAACAGACGAGGAGCUUGCUCCUCUGACGUUAGCGGCGGACGGGUGAGUAACACGUGGAUAACCUACCUAUAAGACUGGGAUAACUUCGGGAAACCGGAGCUAAUACCGGAUAAUAUAUUGAACCGCAUGGUUCAAUAGUGAAAGACGGUUUUGCUGUCACUUAUAGAUGGAUCCGCGCCGCAUUAGCUAGUUGGUAAGGUAACGGCUUACCAAGGCAACGAUGCGUAGCCGACCUGAGAGGUUAAUCGACCACACUGAACCUGAAACCCGAUCCAGACUCUACGGGAGGCAGCAGUAGGGAAUCUUCCGCAAUGGGCGAAAGCCUGACGGAGCAACGCCGCGUGAGUGAUGAAGGUCUUCGGAUCGUAAAACUCUGUUAUUAGGGAAGAACAAAUGUGUAAGUAACUAUGCACGUCUUGACGGUACCUAAUCAGAAAGCCACGGCUAACUACGUG
rnacentral:rRNA from 1 species